rnacentral:rRNA from 1 species
GACGAACGCUGGCGGCGUGCUUAACACAUGCAAGUCGAACGGAAAGGCCCUGCUUUUGUGGGGUGCUCGAGUGGCGAACGGGUGAGUAACACGUGAGUAACCUGCCCUUGACUUUGGGAUAACUUCAGGAAACUGGGGCUAAUACCGGAUAGGAGCUCCUGCUGCAUGGUGGGGGUUGGAAAGUUUCGGCGGUUGGGGAUGGACUCGCGGCUUAUCAGCUUGUUGGUGGGGUAGUGGCUUACCAAGGCUUUGACGGGUAGCCGGCCUGAGAGGGUGACCGGCCACAUUGGGACUGAGAUACGGCCCAGACUCCUACGGGAGGCAGCAGUGGGGAAUAUUGCACAAUGGGCGGAAGCCUGAUGCAGCAACGCCGCGUGCGGGAUGACGGCCUUCGGGUUGUAAACCGCUUUCGCCUGUGACGAAGCGUGAGUGACGGUAAUGGGUAAAGAAGCACCGGCUAACUACGUGCCAGCAGCCGCGGUGAUACGUAGGGUGCGAGCGUUGUCCGGAUUUAUUGGGCGUAAAGGGCUCGUAGGUGGUUGAUCGCGUCGGAAGUGUAAUCUUGGGGCUUAACCCUGAGCGUGCUUUCGAUACGGGUUGACUUGAGGAAGGUAGGGGAGAAUGGAAUUCCUGGUGGAGCGGUGGAAUGCGCAGAUAUCAGGAGGAACACCAGUGGCGAAGGCGGUUCUCUGGGCCUUUCCUGACGCUGAGGAGCGAAAGCGUGGGGAGCGAACAGGCUUAGAUACCCUGGUAGUCCACGCUGUAAACGGUGGGUACUAGGUGUGGGGUCCAUUCCACGGGUUCCGUGCCGUAGCUAAGGCUUUAAGUACCCCGCCUGGGGAGUACGGCCGCAAGGCUAAAACUCAAAGGAAUUGACGGGGCCCCGCACAAGCGGCGGAGCAUGCGGAUUAAUUCGAUGCAACGCGUAGAACCUUACCUGGGUUUGACAUGGGUCGGGAGUGCUCAGAGAUGGGUGUGCCUCUUUUGGGGUCGGUUCACAGGUGGUGCAUGCCUGUCGUCAGCUCGUGUCGUGAGAUGUUGGGUUAAGUCCCGCAACGAGCGCAACCCUUGUUCACUGUUGCCAGCACGUUAUGGUGGGGACUCAGUGGAGACCGCCGGGGUCAACUCGGAGGAAGGUGGGGAUGACGUCAAGUCCUCAUGCCCCUUAUGUCCAGGGCUUCACGCAUGCUACAAUGGCUGGUACAGAGAGUGGCGAGCCUGUGAGGGUGAGCGAAUCUCGGAAAGCCGGUCUCAGUUCGGAUUGGGGUCUGCAACUCGACCUCAUGAAGUCGGAGUCGCUAGUAAUCGCAGAUCAGCAACGCUGCGGUGAAUACGUUCCCGGGGCU